rnacentral:rRNA from 1 species
GAUGAACGCUGGCGGCGUGCCUAAUACAUGCAAGUCGAGCGAACGGACGAGAAGCUUGCUUCUCUGAUGUUAGCGGCGGACGGGUGAGUAACACGUGGAUAACCUACCUAUAAGACUGGGAUAACUUCGGGAAACCGGAGCUAAUACCGGAUAAUAUUUUGAACCGCAUGGUUCAAAAGUGAAAGACGGUCUUGCUGUCACUUAUAGAUGGAUCCGCGCUGCAUUAGCUAGUUGGUAAGGUAACGGCUUACCAAGGCAACGAUGCAUAGCCGACCUGAGAGGGUGAUCGGCCACACUGGAACUGAGACACGGUCCAGACUCCUACGGGAGGCAGCAGUAGGGAAUCUUCCGCAAUGGGCGAAAGCCUGACGGAGCAACGCCGCGUGAGUGAUGAAGGUCUUCGGAUCGUAAAACUCUGUUAUUAGGGAAGAACAUAUGUGUAAGUAACUGUGCACAUCUUGACGGUACCUAAUCAGAAAGCCACGGCUAACUACGUGCCAGCAGCCGCGGUAAUACGUAGGUGGCAAGCGUUAUCCGGAAUUAUUGGGCGUAAAGCGCGCGUAGGCGGUUUUUUAAGUCUGAUGUGAAAGCCCACGGCUCAACCGUGGAGGGUCAUUGGAAACUGGAAAACUUGAGUGCAGAAGAGGAAAGUGGAAUUCCAUGUGUAGCGGUGAAAUGCGCAGAGAUAUGGAGGAACACCAGUGGCGAAGGCGACUUUCUGGUCUGUAACUGACGCUGAUGUGCGAAAGCGUGGGGAUCAAACAGGAUUAGAUACCCUGGUAGUCCACGCCGUAAACGAUGAGUGCUAAGUGUUAGGGGGUUUCCGCCCCUUAGUGCUGCAGCUAACGCAUUAAGCACUCCGCCUGGGGAGUACGACCGCAAGGUUGAAACUCAAAGGAAUUGACGGGGACCCGCACAAGCGGUGGAGCAUGUGGUUUAAUUCGAAGCAACGCGAAGAACCUUACCAAAUCUUGACAUCCUCUGACCCCUCUAGAGAUAGAGUUUUCCCCUUCGGGGGACAGAGUGACAGGUGGUGCAUGGUUGUCGUCAGCUCGUGUCGUGAGAUGUUGGGUCAAGUCCCGCAACGAGCGCAACCCUUAAGCUUAGUUGCCAUCAUUAAGUUGGGCACUCUAAGUUGACUGCCGGUGACAAACCGGAGGAAGGUGGGGAUGACGUCAAAUCAUCAUGCCCCUUAUGAUUUGGGCUACACACGUGCUACAAUGGACAAUACAAAGGGCAGCGAAACCGCGAGGUCAAGCAAAUCCCAUAAAGUUGUUCUCAGUUCGGAUUGUAGUCUGCAACUCGACUAUAUGAAGCUGGAAUCGCUAGUAAUCGUAGAUCAGCAUGCUACGGUGAAUACGUUCCCGGGUCU